rnacentral:rRNA from 1 species
GACGAACGCUGGCGGCGUGCUUAACACAUGCAAGUCGAACGGAAAGGCCCUGCUUUUGUGGGGUGCUCGAGUGGCGAACGGGUGAGUAACACGUGAGUAACCUGCCCUUGACUUUGGGAUAACUUCAGGAAACUGGGGCUAAUACCGGAUAGGAGCUCCUGCUGCAUGGUGGGGGUUGGAAAAUUUCGGCGGUUGGGGAUGGACUCGCGGCUUAUCAGCUUGUUGGUGGGGUAGUGGCUUACCAAGGCUUUGACGGGUAGCCGGCCUGAGAGGGUGACCGGCCACAUUGGGACUGAGAUACGGCCCAGACUCCUACGGGAGGCAGCAGUGGGGAAUAUUGCACAAUGGACGGAAGCCUGAUGCAGCAACGCCGCGUGCGGGAUGACGGCCUUCGGGUUGUAAACCGCUUUCGCCUGUGACGAAGCGUGAGUGACGGUAAUGGGUAAAGAAGCACCGGCUAACUACGUG